GUAUUAAUGAGUUGCUGGAAAACAUAUUUUUACAUUCUUAGAAAUAAGAGCUUUUGGCAAAAGUCAGAACCAGAACUUCUGUGAAGCCAAAAGAACUGUCUCCCAGCUUUUUUCUCUAGGAAGGCCUUGUAGUUUAUGAAGGAAAGAGGACAGAAGGCAGGUGGCUAUGUUCUGGGUGAAUGGAGGGAUUUUAAUUGGUAGACUUUUGCUGAGGGGCAAUAGCCAAUAGGGAGAGGGUGGAGAAUGAUGGUGUAAUUGAUGGAAUGACGUACUUGAGGAUCUGGGGACAUCAGAGUCAGAGUUUAUGAAGUUUACUUAUUCUAUAGACAGUUACUGUCCAACAACUGAGCUAGGUGCUGGGAAUACAGUGGUGAGCUAAAUCAAGUAAGGUCCCUACCCUCAUGGACCUUAGGGAAAUUCAGGGAAUAAACUUCAUUGUCUUUAUCUGUCUCAAAUCUUGAGUACAAUACUUACUAAUGCUACAUUUUUAAAGAAUCGUUAACUUUAUGAGCAAUUUGGG
rnacentral:lncRNA from 1 species